AUUGAACGCUGGCGGCAUGCCUUACACAUGCAAGUCGAACGGUAACAGGUCUUCGGAUGCUGACGAGUGGCGAACGGGUGAGUAAUACAUCGGAACGUGCCCGAGAGUGGGGGAUAACGAGGCGAAAGCUUUGCUAAUACCGCAUACGAGCUCAGGAUGAAGGCAGGGGACCGCAAGGCCUUGCGCUCACGGAGCGGCCGAUGGCAGAUUAGGUAGUUGGUGGGAUAAAAGCUUACCAAGCCGACGAUCUGUAGCUGGUCUGAGAGGACGACCAGCCACACUGGGACUGAGACACGGCCCAGACGCCUACGGGAGGCAGCAGUGGGGAAUUUUGGACAAUGGGCGCAAGCCUGAUCCAGCCAUGCCGCGUGCAGGAUGAAGGCCUUCGGGUUGUAAACUGCUUUUGUACGGAACGAAAAGACUCUGGUUAAUACCUGGGGUCCAUGACGGUACCGUAAGAAUAAGCACCGGCUAACUACGUGCCAGCCGCCGCCGUAACAC
rnacentral:rRNA from 1 species